rnacentral:sRNA from 1 species
AUAAAAUAGCAACAAAAGUGUGUGUUUAUUAAAGCACAAAUGCAGCCAGCUACAGUGAAGCCUGGGCAAUGGAUGUUGGCAAUGCACGCGCUCAGAACGGAUGCAAAGGGAAUGACCGCGCACAAAUAACACUAGCACAACCACUAGCACAGUGAACACCGCCGCAGCACACACCAAA